UACGGGGGGUGCGAGCGUUGUCCGGAAUCACUGGGCGUAAAGGGCGCGUAGGUGGCGUGAUAAGGGUGUGGUGAAAGCCCGGGGCUCAACCCCGGGUCUGCCAUGCCGACUGUCAGGCUGGAGUACUGUAGGGGCAGGCGGAAUUCCGGGUGUAGCGGUGGAAUGCGUAGAGAUCCGGAGGAAGACCGGUGGCGAAGGCGGCCUGCUGGGCUGUUGCUGACGCUGAGGCGCGACAGCGUGGGGAGCAAACAGG
rnacentral:rRNA from 1 species